rnacentral:ncRNA from 1 species
CUUCCGCGACUGACGGAAAUGUGGAGCACCACAGGGGAACGGAAGUAAUAGUAACGCCGACCGUCUGGGCAGUUC